UGGAAACGGUAGCUAAUACCGCAUAACGUCGCAAGACCAAAGAGGGGGACCUUCGGGCCUCUUGCCAUCGGAUGUGCCCAGAUGGGAUUAGCUAGUAGGUGGGGUAACGGCUCACCUAGGCGACGAUCCCUAGCUGGUCUGAGAGGAUGACCAGCCACACUGGAACUGAGACACGGUCCAGACUCCUACGGGAGGCAGCAGUGGGGAAUAUUGCACAAUGGGCGCAAGCCUGAUGCAGCCAUGCCGCGUGUAUGAAGAAGGCCUUCGGGUUGUAAAGUACUUUCAGCGGGGAGGAAGGGAGUAAAGUUAAUACCUUUGAUCAUUGACGUUACCCGCAGAAGAAGCACCGGCUAACU
rnacentral:rRNA from 1 species